CAGGGAAUAUUGCGCAAUGGGCGACAGCCUGACGCAGCGACGCCGCGUGGGGGAUGAAGGUCUUCGGAUUGUAAACCCCUUUCGGCAGGGAAGAUGGAACGGGUAACCGUUCGGACGGUACCUGCAGAAGCAGCCACGGCUAACUUCGUGCCAGCAGCCGCGGUAAUACGAAGGUGGCAAGCGUUGUUCGGAUUUACUGGGCGUACAGGGAGCGUAGGCGGUUGGGUAAGCCCUCCGUGAAAUCUCCGGGCCUAACCCGGAAAGUGCGGAGGGGACUGCUCGGCUAGAGGAUGGGAGAGGAGCGCGGAAUUCCCGGUGUAGCGGUGAAAUGCGUAGAGAUCGGGAGGAAGGCCGGUGGCGAAGGCGGCGCUCUGGAACAUUUCUGACGCUGAGGCUCGAAAGCGUGGGGAGCAAACAGGAUUAGAUACCCGAGUAGUCCCUGAGCGGGCUGGCAAGGCGCAU
rnacentral:rRNA from 1 species